rnacentral:rRNA from 1 species
GACGAACGCUGGCGGCGUGCUUAACACAUGCAAGUCGAACGGUGAACCAGAGCUUGCUCUGGGGAUCAGUGGCGAACGGGUGAGUAACACGUGGGCAACCUGCCCCAGACUCUGGGAUAACCUCGGGAAACCGAUGCUAAUACCGGAUACGACCACUUCGGACAUCCGACGGUGGUGGAAAGUUUUUCGGUCUGGGAUGGGCCCGCGGCCUAUCAGCUAGUUGGUGGGGUAAUGGCCUACCAAGGCGACGACGGGUAGCCGGCCUGAGAGGGCGACCGGCCACACUGGAACUGAGACACGGUCCAGACUCCUACGGGAGGCAGCAGUGGGGAAUAUUGCACAAUGGGCGAAAGCCUGAUGCAGCGACGCCGCGUGAGGGACGACGGGCCUUCGGGUUGUAACCUCUUUCAGCAGGACGAAGCG